rnacentral:tRNA from 1 species
CGCUAAGAAGCUAAACAGGGAACAGCAUUAGCCUUUUAAGCUAAAGAUUGGUGGCUCCCACCCACCCCUAGCGA